UCGGGAAUUUUGGGCAAUGGGCGAAAGCCUGACCCAGCAACGCCGCGUGAGGGAUGAAGUAUUUCGGUAUGUAAACCUCGAAAGAAUGGGAAGAAUAAAUGACGGUACCAUUUAUAAGCUCCGGCUAACUACGUGCCAGCAGCCGCGGUAAUACGUAGGGAGCAAGCGUUGUUCGGAUUUACUGGGCGUAAAGGGCGCGUAGGCGGCGCGGUAAGUCACUUGUGAAAUCUCUGAGCUUAACUCAGAACGGCCAAGUGAUACUGCUGUGCUAGAGUGCGGAAGAGGCAACCGGAAUUCUUGGUGUAGCGGUGAAAUGCGUAGAUAUCAAGAGGAACACCAGAGCCGAAGGCGGGUUGCCGGGCCGACACUGACGCUGAUGCGCGAAAGCCA
rnacentral:rRNA from 1 species